rnacentral:rRNA from 1 species
GAGUUGUAAUCUAGAGAGGUGUUUUCCGUGCCGGACCGUGUACAAGUCCCUUGGAACAGGGCGUCAUAGAGGGUGAGAAUCCCGUCCAUGACACGGACUACCGGUGCUCUGUGAUACACCUUCAAAGAGUCGAGUUGUUUGGGAAUGCAGCUCAAAAUGGGUGGUAAAUUCCAUCUAAAGCUAAAUACAGGCGAGAGACCGAUAGCGAACAAGUACCGUGAGGGAAAGAUGAAAAGAACUUUGGAAAGAGAGUUAAACAGUACGUGAAAUUGUUGAAAGGGAAACGCUUGAAGUCAGUCGCGUCUGCCAGGACUCAGCCUUGCUUCUGCAUGGUGCAUUUCCUGGUGGAUGGGCCAGCAUCGAUUUUGGUCGCCGGACAAGGGNGGGAGGAAUGUGGCAGCUUGCUGUGUUAUAGCCUCCCGUCGUACACGGUGGUUGGGAUCGAGGACUGCAGCACGCCUUUGGUCGGGGUUCGCCCACGCCACGUGCUUAGGAUGCUGGCGUAAUGGCUUUAAACGACCCGUCUUGAAACACGGACCAAGGAGUCUAACAUGCCUGCGAGUGUUUGGGCGUUAAACCCAGGCGCGUAAUGAAAGUGAAAAGUUGGGACUCUUUAGUGAGGCACCGACGCCCGAUCCUGACGUUCUCUGACGGAUUUGAGGUAGAGCAUGUAUGUUGGGACCCGAAAGAUGGUGAACUAUGCCUGAAUAGGGUGAAGCCAGAGGAAACUCUGGUGGAGGCUCGUAAGCGAUUCUGACGUGCAAAUCGAUCGUCAAAUUUGGGUAUA